rnacentral:rRNA from 1 species
UACAGAGGUGGCAAGCGUUGUUCGGAAUUACUGGGCGUAAAGGGCGCGUAGGCGGUUCGUUAAGUCCUGUGUGAAAUCCCCCGGCUCAACUGGGGAACUGCACAGGAAACUAGCGGGCUUGAGUUCGGGAGAGGGAAGCGGAAUUCCGGGUGUAGCGGUGAAAUGCGUAGAUAUUCGGAAGAACACCAGUGGCGAAGGCGGCUCACUGGACCGGUAUUGACGCUGAGGUGCGAAAGCGUGGGGAGCAAACAGG